CAUUUGUCUCAGUUUCAAACCGAGGGAGAAGAGAGAGAGCUUCAAACGCUCUCAACUCUCUUCUCCACAGGGAGAAGAAGCAAUGGCCACAGGCGGAACUCACGGCAGAGUUCACGGUGGCCGGCGGUGGUCGGAGAGAGGAAAUCACCUCAAAAGUGUCCUCUCCUUACUCUCAUCUCGAAACCCGACUCCCCUUAGCCUAAAACAUCCCCUAAAGCCACAGAUCUAACUGUUUACCUUUCGAGAAAACAAGAAACCGGUGACCCUUCCUCCUCUCGCUGACUCCUCCGAUCAAGGAAACCCGUCACUAUUCGAUGGAUGCGGGUCACUGUUGGAUGGACUUUUGCAGGUCGGCUUGGUGGCUCGGUGGUAGCUGGAGCGUUGGAAUACCAAUCGGUGGACAUGCAUCCUGUCCCAUGAAAUUUCUGUAAUUCACAGUUAAUCGAACUAACUUACCAUCCCCGAAACAUCCAUAAAUAAAGCCAAUACUGCAGCUAGCAUACCAGCUGUCACUGUGCUCUUUA